AUACCUUUCUCGGCCUUUUGACUAAGAUCAAGUGUAGUAUCUGUUCUUAUCAGUUUAAUAUCUGAUAUGUGAGCCAUUGGUUCACAUGAUAUUAAAUUAAUUUUUUGUGGGAAAGGGUCUAUAACAGUGGCUUGCCACUGGGAUUCUUAAGCAUUGUCCUUGCUUUGCACUGUCACAAGGGUCUGGUGCGUCCCAC
rfam:Vigna angularis cultivar Jingnong 6 scaffold272_35, whole genome shotgun sequence.